GAGGCCCCACCAGGUUCUUUCUCAGGUGUUCUACCUCCUGUUGAGGCCCCACCAGGUUCUCUCUCAGGUGUUCUACCUCCUGUUGAGGCCCCACCAGGUUCUUUCUCAGGCGUUCUACCUCCUGUUGAGGCCCCACCAGGUUCUUUCUCAGGCGUUCUACCUCCUGUUGAGGCCCCACCAGGUUCUCUCUCAGGUGUUCUACCUCCUGUUGAGGCCCCACCAGGUUCUUUCUCAGGCGUUCUACCUCCUGUUGAGGCCCCACCAGGUUCUUUCUCAGGCGUUCUACCUCCUGUUGAGGCCCCAUCAGGUUCUCUCUCAGGCGUUCUACCUCCUGUUGAGGCCCCACCAGGUUCUUUCUCAGGUGUUCUACCUCCUGUUGAGGCCCCACCAGGUUCUUUCUCAGGUGUUCUACCUCCUGUUGAGGCCCCACCAGGUUCUUUCUCAGGUGUUCUACCUCCUGUUGAGGCCCCACCAGGUUCUCUCUCAGGUGUUCUACCUCCUGUUGAGGCCCCACCAGGUUCUCUCUCAGGUGUUCUACCUCCUGUUGAGGCCCCACCAGGUUCUUUCUCAGGCGUUCUACCUCCUGUUGAGGCCCCACCAGGUUCUUUCUCAGGCGUUCUACCUCCUGUUGAGGCCCCACCAGGUUCUUUCUCAGGCGUUCUACCUCCUGUUGAGGCCCCACCAGGUUCUUUCUCAGGCGUUCUACCUCCUGUUGAGGCCCCAUCAGGUUCUCUCUCAGGUGUUCUACCUCCUGUUGAGGCCCCACCAGGUUCUUUCUCAGGCGUUCUACCUCCUGUUGAGGCCCCACCAGGUUCUCUCUCAGGUGUUCUACCUCCUGUUGAGGCCCCACCAGGUUCUUUCUCAGGCGUUCUACCUCCUGUUGAGGCCCCACCAGGUUCUCUCUCAGGUGUUCUACCUCCUGUUGAGGCCCCACCAGGUUCUCUCUCAGGUGUUCUACCUCCUGUUGGGGCCCCAUCAGGUUCUCUCUCAGGUGUUCUACCUCCUGUUGAGGCCCCAUCAGGUUCUCUCUCAGGUGUUCUACCUCCUGUUGGGGCCCCAUCAGGUUCUCUCUCAGGUGUUCUACCUCCUGUUGGGGCCCCAUCAGGUUCUUUCUCAGGUGUUCUACCUCCUGUUGAGGCCCCAUCAGGUUCUCUCUCAGGUGUUCUACCUCCUGUUGGGGCCCCACCAGGUUCUCUCUCAGGUGUUCUACCUCCUGUUGGGGCCCCACCAGGUUCUCUCUCAGGUGUUCUACCUCCUGUUGAGGCCCCACCAGGUUCUCUCUCAGGUGUUCUACCUCCUGUUGGGGCCCCACCAGCUUGGCCCCUGCAGCCUCAUGACGUCAUGUUUCUCCUGGGGGCUGAAGUGCAGGAUGGUGAGGAUGGCGUUGAGCGUCUGACUCCUGCCGCUGGAGUCCUGCAGCGUGAGGAACCUGUAGAUGACGUUCUUCAGGUACUCCAUGUUGGCG